UUCAAAAUACAUAUGGUAGCUAGGAUGCACAGGUGAACACUCUCAGAACUCUCAAGAAGAUUGUAUCUGGGCCAUAAGUUGGGGCAUCAAUUCUGCUUUUUCAAAUCACCAACCACAAGGCUCAGAUUGUGGAAGAUUUUUGAACUUCCAGAAACAGCUAUGAAGCAGACGACUCACCGCAGUGAAGACACCACGAAUCAACCACUUGGGAAAUGCUGGUCCAAGUCCUAGACGGCCUUCGUGAACUAAUAAUCGUUUUAGAAAAUUAUUUUCAAGAACUUUGAGUCAGCAUUGCCUAAAAGCUUUUCCCUUCAUCACUUUUGGUUUCAGUUAGCAGCAGGUGCAGAGAGAAUAUUUGUUUUCAUUUGGAUAAACUCAUUCAAAAUUAAGAAACUGGGAGCUGAAAGAGCAGGAAAGCUUGUUUUCCUUUUAUAAUCUAUGAAUGGAAACCAGAUGGGAGAGGAUGAGAUCUAAUAAUUCUAAAUCUGAAGACCAUGAGGCUGAAUUUUCAAAGGAAAGGACCAUCUCAACUGUCUAACCUCAGGCUGAAUUUGCACAGAUGCUGUUCAAUACUCCCUUCAUUACUAACCGACUGGAAAGUAACUCCUCUUCAUGUGAUAUGAAUAUAUCAUCCUGCUUCUUUCCAAAUACAGAGCAAAAAUAUUUAUUGAAAAACUUCCGUCUUUUCUGCAUCUGCACAGAUAACUUUCUUUAAAUCAAGAGUGGAGCAAGCAAAAGCAGAAAGAUAAAGCUGAGUGGUGCUGUUGAAGAGAAAUAAUGGCACUAAGGCCACUCUUUCUGCCUAUGUGGAAGAAAGAAUGGCAGUACAGAAAGAAUCAAACCAAAACCUCAGAGUCUCCUUCCAAGGAAAGAAAAGUGAAACUAUGCAAUCAAAACUACAGACAAGCCCAAACAGCCAGAACAGCUACAUUGGCAGACUACCAUAAAGAACAAUGUGCAAUGCUGACUCAAGAGACAGAGAAUCACAGCCCCAUAUGGAAAAAAAAUCUUUCAAGUGGAAGAAGGAACGGACAACAACAACUAGGGAUGAAUGAAAAAUAUUAGAGACUGAGGUGUGGGAUGGACCAGAGAAGUGCAGGGGCCUGAGAAUUAUUAUGUAUUUUGCUGAAGGGAAAGAAGAAAUAAAGCAAGAAGCCUGGGUUUUGGAUCAGAUUUAUCUCUGUUUCCACAUUUACAGAAAAGUGUCUCAAAAUAUGGAGUCUCUCCAAGAACACUCUAUUACAUCAAGCAUACAUGAACCAUACAUAAGAGUGUUAUAGUGGCUAUGUGAAAUAGAGUUUUCCACUCAAUUUUUAUUAAAAAUUUCAUUUGUUUUUAAUCUUU